rnacentral:rRNA from 1 species
AGCUUGCUGGGUGGAUUAGUGGCGAACGGGUGAGUAACACGUGAGUAACCUGCCCUUGACUCUGGGAUAAGCCUGGGAAACUGGGUCUAAUACCGGAUAGGAACGUCCACCGCAUGGUGGUUGUUGGAAAGAUUUAUCGGUCAUGGAUGGACUCGCGGCCUAUCAGCUUGUUGGUGAGGUAAUGGCUCACCAAGGCGACGACGGGUAGCCGGCCUGAGAGGGUGACCGGCCACACUGGGACUGAGACACGGCCCAGACUCCUACGGGAGGCAGCAGUGGGGAAUAUUGCACAAUGGGCGAAAGCCUGAUGCAGCGACGCCGCGUGAGGGAUGACGGCCUUCGGGUUGUAAACCUCUUUCAGUAGGGAAGAAGCGAAAGUGACGGUACCUGCAGAAGAAGCACCGGCUAACUACGUGCCAGCAGCCGCGGUAAUACGUAGGGUGCGAGCGUUAUCCGGAAUUAUUGGGCGUAAAGAGCUCGUAGGCGGUUUGUCGCGUCUGUCGUGAAAGUCCGGGGCUUAACCCCGGAUCUGCGGUGGGUACGGGCAGACUAGAGUGCAGUAGGGGAGACUGGAAUUCCUGGUGUAGCGGUGGAAUGCGCAGAUAUCAGGAGGAACACCGAUGGCGAAGGCAGGUCUCUGGGCUGUAACUGACGCUGAGGAGCGAAAGCAUGGGGAGCGAACAGGAUUAGAUACCCUGGUAGUCCAUGCCGUAAACGUUGGGCACUAGGUGUGGGGACCAUUCCACGGUUUCCGCGCCGCAGCUAACGCAUUAAGUGCCCCGCCUGGGGAGUACGGCCGCAAGGCUAAAACUCAAAGGAAUUGACGGGGGCCCGCACAAGCGGCGGAGCAUGCGGAUUAAUUCGAUGCAACGCGAAGAACCUUACCAAGGCUUGACAUGUUCUCGAUCGCCGUAGAGAUACGGUUUCCCCUUUGGGGCGGGAUCACAGGUGGUGCAUGGUUGUCGUCAGCUCGUGUCGUGAGAUGUUGGGUUAAGUCCCGCAACGAGCGCAACCCUCGUUCCAUGUUGCCAGCACGUAAUGGUGGGGACUCAUGGGAGACUGCCGGGGUCAACUCCGAGGAAGGUGGGGACGACGUCAAAUCAUCAUGCCCCUUAUGUCUUGGGCUUCACGCAUGCUACAAUGGCCGGUACAAUGGGUUGCGAUACUGU